GGGGUGUGAGAAAGACUUACCUCCUCGUGGUGCACCCUGGGCAACGUAUUCUCAUAUGGCAAAAAAGUCUAU
rfam:Hymenolepis nana genome assembly, scaffold: HNAJ_scaffold0003033